rnacentral:rRNA from 1 species
ACACGGAGGGCGCAAGCGUUGCUCGGAAUCACUGGGCGCAAAGCGGGUGUAGGCGGUCUAGCAAGUCAGAUGUGAAAGCCCACGGCUCAACCGUGGAAGUGCAUCUGAAACUGCUAGACUUGAGUGCCGGAGAGGGAAGUGGAAUUCCUGGUGUAGGGGUGAAAUCCGUAGAUAUCAGGAGGAACACCGGUGGCGAAGGCGACUUCCUGGACGGCCACUGACGCUGAGACCCGAAAGCGUGGGGAGCAAACAGGAUUAGAAACCCUUGUAGUCC